UGGGGAAUAUUGCACAAUGGGCGCAAGCCUGAUGCAGCCAUGCCGCGUGUGUGAAGAAGGCCUCGGGUUGUAAAGCACUUUCAGCGAGGAGGAAGGUGGUGAGCUUAAUACGCUCAUCAAUUGACGUUACUCGCAGAAGAAGCACCGGCUAACUCCGUGCCAGCAGCCGCGGUAAUAAACGGAGGGUGCAAGCGUUAAUCGGAAUUACUGGGCGUAAAGCGCACGCAGGCGGUUUGUUAAGUCAGAUGUGAAAUCCCCGGGCUCAACCUGGGAACUGCAUUUGAAAGCUGGCAAGCUAGAGUCUCGUAGAGGGGGUAGAAUUCCAGGUGUAGCGGUGAAAUGCGUUAGAGAUCUGGAGGAAUACCGGUGGCGAAGGCGGACCCCCUGGCACGAAGACUGACGCUCAGGUGCG
rnacentral:rRNA from 1 species